rnacentral:rRNA from 2 species
GCGCGAUACAGGGUGACAGCCCCGUACACAAAAGCGCAUGUGCUGUGAGCUCGAUGAGUAGGGCGGGACACGUGGUAUCCUGUCUGAAUAUGGGGGGACCAUCCUCCAAGGCUAAAUACUCCUGACUGACCGAUAGUGAACCAGUACCGUGAGGGAAAGGCGAAAAGAACCCCGGCGAGGGGAGUGAAAAAGAACCUGAAACCGUGUACGUACAAGCAGUGGGAGCCCCACCACUAAGCCAGUGGUGAACUCCACAUCCGCAUCCUUUGCUGAGGAUACGGUUAACGGAGCGAAAGCGACGUUCAACCGCAAAACAAGCAGAGGGGGCUUAGUGGUGGGGUGACUGCGUACCUUUUGUAUAAUGGGUCAGCGACUUAUAUUCUGUAGCAAGGUUAACCG